rnacentral:rRNA from 1 species
GACGAACGCUGGCGGCGUGCUUAACACAUGCAAGUCGAACGGGAGUAUUGAAGAAGCUUGCUUUAGAGAUACUUUAGUGGCGGACGGGUGAGUAACGCGUGAGGAGCUGUCCUAUGCAGGGGGACAACAGUUGGAAACGACUGCUAAUACCCCAUAAGCCGAGAGGUAAAAGGAUUUAUCCGGCAAUGGAGGUACUCGCGUCCUAUCAGCUAGUAGGUGAGGUAACGGCUCACCUAGGCGAAGACGGGUAGCCGGCCUGAGAGGGCGAACGGCCACACUGGAACUGAGAUACGGUCCAGACUCCUACGGGAGGCAGCAGUGGGGAAUAUUGGGCAAUGGGGGGAACCCUGACCCAGCGACGCCGCGUGGGUGAAGAAAUCCCUCGGGAUGUAAAGCCCUGUUGUAUGGGAAGAGCGGAAGACGGUACCAUACGAGGAAGCCCCGGCAAACUACGUGCCAGCAGCCGCAGUAA